rnacentral:rRNA from 1 species
UACGGGAGGCAGCAGUGGGGAAUUUUGGACAAUGGGGGCAACCCUGAUCCAGCCAUGCCGCGUGCGGGAAGAAGGCCUUCGGGUUGUAAACCGCUUUCGGCCGGAACGAAAUCGGCGGGAUGAAUAGUCUCGCUGGAUGACGGUACCGGAAGAAGAAGCACCGGCUAACUACGUGCCAGCAGCCGCGGUAAUACGUAGGGUGCGAGCGUUAAUCGGAAUUACUGGGCGUAAAGCGUGCGCAGGCGGCCGCAUAAGCCAGAGGUGAAAUCCCCGGGCUCAACCUGGGAAUGGCCUUUGGGACUGUGUGGCUGGAGUGCGGCAGAGGGGGGUGGAAUUCCUGGUGUAGCAGUGAAAUGCGUAGAGAUCAGGGGGAACACCGAUGGCGAAGGCAGCCCCCUGGGCCAGCACUGACGCUCAGGCACGAAAGCGUGGGGAGCAAACAGGAUUAGAUACCCUGGUAGUCCACGCCCUAAACGAUGACGACUAGUUGUUGGGGGAGUCUAUCCCUUAGUAACGUAGCUAACGCGUGAAGUCGUCCGCCUGGGGAGUACGGUCGCAAGAUUAAAACUCAAAGGAAUUGACGGGGA